AUUGAACGCUGGCGGCAGGCCUAACACAUGCAAGUCGAACGGUAACAGAGAGUAGCUUGCUACUCUGCUGACGAGUGGCGGACGGGUGAGUAAUGUCUGGGGAUCUGCCUGAUGGAGGGGGAUAACUACUGGAAACGGUAGCUAAUACCGCAUAAUGUCGCAAGACCAAAGCGGGGGACUUUCGGGCCUCGCACCAUCGGAUGAACCCAGAUGGGAUUAGCUAGUAGGUAGGGUAAUGGCUUACCUAGGCGACGAUCCCUAGCUGGUCUGAGAGGAUGACCAGCCACACUGGAACUGAGACACGGUCCAGACUCCUACGGGAGGCAGCAGUGGGGAAUAUUGCACAAUGGGCGCAAGCCUGAUGCAGCCAUGCCGCGUGUAUGAAGAAGGCCUUCGGGUUGUAAAGUACUUUCAGUCAGGAGGAAGGGUGUGAAAUUAAUACUUUCAUGCAUUGACGUUACUGACAGAAGAAGCACCGGCUAACUCCGUGCCAGCAGCCGCUGUAA
rnacentral:rRNA from 1 species